rnacentral:rRNA from 2 species
UGCUAGAAGAUGACGAGUGGCGGACGGGUGAGUAAUGCUUGGGAACUUGCCUUUGCGAGGGGGAUAACAGUUGGAAACGACUGCUAAUACCGCAUAAUGUCUUCGGACCAAACGGGGCUUCGGCUCCGGCGCAAAGAGAGGCCCAAGUGAGAUUAGCUAGUUGGUAAGGUAACGGCUUACCAAGGCGACGAUCUCUAGCUGUUCUGAGAGGAAGAUCAGCCACACUGGGACUGAGACACGGCCCAGACUCCUACGGGAGGCAGCAGUGGGGAAUAUUGCACAAUGGGGGAAACCCUGAUGCAGCCAUGCCGCGUGUGUGAAGAAGGCCUUCGGGUUGUAAAGCACUUUCAGUUGUGAGGAAAAGUUAGUAGUUAAUACCUGCUAGCCGUGACGUUAACAACAGAAGAAGCACCGGCUAACUCCGUGCCAGCAGCCGCGGUAAUACGGAGGGUGCGAGCGUUAAUCGGAAUUACUGGGCGUAAAGCGCACGCAGGCGGUUUGUUAAGCUAGAUGUGAAAGCCCCGGGCUCAACCUGGGAUGGUCAUUUAGAACUGGCAGACUAGAGUCUUGGAGAGGGGAGUGGAAUUCCAGGUGUAGCGGUGAAAUGCGUAGAUAUCUGGAGGAACAUCAGUGGCGAAGGCGACUCCCUGGCCAAAGACUGACGCUCAUGUGCGAAAGUGUGGGUAGCGAACAGGAUUAGAUACCCUGGUAGUCCACACCGUAAACGCUGUCUACUAGCUGUGUGUGCCUUUAAGGCGUGCGUAGCGAAGCUAACGCGCUAAGUAGACCGCCUGGGGAGUACGGCCGCAAGGUUAAAACUCAAAUGAAUUGACGGGGGCCCGCACAAGCGGUGGAGCAUGUGGUUUAAUUCGAUGCAACGCGAAGAACCUUACCU